GACCUCGUAUCUAGCUCAAUUGGUAGAGGAUUGGACUAGCAAACCGAAAGUCGUGGGUUCAAUUCCCACCGCGGUCA